rnacentral:rRNA from 1 species
UACGGGAGGCAGCGGUGGGGAAUAUUGCACAAUGGGCGCAAGCCUGAUGCAGCCAUGCCGCGUGUAUGAAGAAGGCCUUCGGGUUGUAAAGUACUUUCAGUCGUGAGGAAGGUGUUAAGGUUAAUAACCUUAGCAAUUGACGUUAGCGACAGAAGAAGCACCGGCUAACUCCGUGCCAGCAGCCGCGGUAAUACGGAGGGUGCGAGCGUUAAUCGGAAUUACUGGGCGUAAAGGGCACGCAGGCGGUUAAUUAAGUUGGAUGUGAAAUCCCCGGGCUUAACCUGGGAAUGGCAUUCAAGACUGGUUAGCUAGAGUCUUGUAGAGGGGGUAGAAUUCCAUGUGUAGCGGUGAAAUGCGUAGAGAUGUGGAGGAAUACCGGUGGCGAAGGCGGCCCCUGGGACAAAGACUGACGCUCAUGUGCGAAAGCGUGGGGAGCAAACAGGGAUUAGAUACC